rnacentral:tmRNA from 1 species
GUAAGAAAUUGGUUAAUUAUCUAUUUGGGGUUGUUACGGAUUCGACAGGCAUUAUGAGGCAUGUUUUGCGUCCCAUCGGCAGAUGUAAAUUGCCAGUUAAAUAUAACUGCAAAAAAUACAAACUCUUACGCUUUAGCUGCCUAAAAACCAGCUAGCGUGACUUCUACAAGAUUGCUUGUGUCCUGUUAGAAGUCUCAAAAUAGCAAGCUACGGUUACGAAAUUGUCUAGUUUCGUGACAAGAGAUUGAUAGACUCGCAAACUAAUGGCUUGAGUUAUGUGUCUUUAGUUUGUUAAAUGAAGACAUAACCUAUGGACGUAGACAAAUAUGUUGGCAGGUGUUUGGACGUGGGUUCGACUCCCACCAGCUCCAUCAAUGCUUACCGUAAGUAAUCAUAACUUACUAAAACCUUGUUACAUCAA